rnacentral:lncRNA from 1 species
UUGACAGUUUGGCUUCCCUGUUCUGGGUGGCAAAGCCUGUGGAGUACUCACCUACCUGCUGCAUGAAGGCAGCAUGGAGGGACUGUGGUGGAUUAUCUGCAAAGAUGGCCAAAAUUCUCUCAUCCCUGCAGGCACAUACAAGCCAGGUUUCCAGAAGUUCCCCAGUCAUUGAGCAUUUCUGAGGCUCUUGAUGCAUAUGCCAAGUAGUUAUGGAGAAAGACACAGCAGCUUACCUCUGCAGGCAUCAUUGUGUGAAAGGAAGACCCAGGCUCUCUCACCACCCUUGAACAGAAGCCUUUUGCUAAGGAGUUUGCAGUUCACCCGCAAACCUCAGCGAUCCAAGCUCCCCUGGAUGACCAUCACUCACCAAGAAAAGAGCAAUAACAGGACCUGUUUUGCUAAUCCAGGACUGUUCUCCAGCACUAACUCUAAAUAAUCCCUUCUGCUAGAGUCCACUUUCUGGAACCUGUUGCCUCCGUUUUCAACGUUUCCCAAACUUGGUCCGUUGUGUGAGCUGGCUGAUAAAAGUUCCAGGGAGAAGACAUCUUACUCUUAUUGGAUCAUGCACAGUGCCUGAAGCAUUCUGUUGCAUGUAGAAGUCAGUAAAUUGCAGAUGUAAGAUUCAAAACCAGACUUCACAUCUACCGACUUCAGUGACCCUGAAAUUUGUUCACAGAGAGCAUUUAACAUAACUGUCUUCAUCAUCUCCUUCUCUACAUUAAAAAUUAUGGAAAAGUUGCUAAAACUGCUGUGAGAUUCUGGCUAAGAAAGUUUCAUGAGAAGUUUUACAGAAAAAUGUGAACGGAAGACAGAACUAGAUAUAAAUUUGAAUGGUAAUCUAAAUAAA